AGCCCCGUAGUGUAGCGGUCAAUCAUGCGAGACUCUGGAUUGCUCUCGCAAGGAGAGAUCUUGCGACGGAGGUUCGAAUCCUCCCGGGGCUA
rnacentral:tRNA from 1 species